rnacentral:rRNA from 1 species
ACGUAGGGUGCAAGCGUUAAUCGGAAUUACUGGGCGUAAAGCGUGCGCAGGCGGUUUGUUAAGACAGUCGUGAAAUCCCCGGGCUUAACCUGGGAACUGCGAUUGUGACUGGCAAGCUAGAGUACGGCAGAGGGGGGUGGAAUUCCUGGUGUAGCAGUGAAAUGCGUAGAGAUCAGGAGGAACACCGAUGGCGAAGGCAGCCCCCUGGGCUAGUACUGACGCUCAUGCACGAAAGCGUGGGGAGCAAACAGGAUUAGAUACCCUGGUAGUCCACGCCCUAAACGAUGUCAACUGGUUGUUGGGUCUUAACUGACUCAGUAACGAAGCUAACGCGUGAAGUUGACCGCCUGGGGAGUACGGCCGCAAGGUUG